UGUAGCCUAUGAGGAUGAGAACCUCCGGGGGCAGGGAGGUUCGACUCGAGCGAAGCGAGAGAACGUUGCGCCAGCAACGGCCCGCAGGGCGAGCCACGAAGUGGCGAGUAAUCCUCUGGCACCGACCA
rnacentral:sRNA from 1 species